UACGCAGGCGGCUUUGCAAGACAGGUGUGAAAUCCCCGGGCCUAACCUGGGAACUGCAUUUGUGACUGCAUAGCUAGAGUUUGUCAGAGGGGGUGGAAUUCCACGUGUAGCAGUGAAAUGCGUAGAUAUGUGGAGGAACACCGAUGGCGAAGGCAGCCCCCUGGGAUGUGACUGACGCUCAUGUACGAAAGCGUGGGAGCAAACA
rnacentral:rRNA from 1 species